UAAACAGAUGAUUGAAAAAGUGAUGAAAUGUCACUUCUAAAAUUAGGUUACAGAGAGAAUGUGGUUUCGUUUUUGCUCACUCCCUCUUAUUCAGGGAAACUAGCUGCCUUUUUAUGUACUGCCCUAUGGAGAGGCACACAUGUCAAGAAACUGAGGGAAUGCCUUCCAGCCAACAGCCAGCCAGGAACUAAGGUGCUCAGUACAGCAGCCUCUACAAGACUGAAUAAUGCCAACAGCUAUUUGAUUGUGCUUGGAAGAAGAUCUCCAUUUAGUUGAACCUUCAGAUGAGACUGCAGCCCUGGCCAGCAAACAAAUUGCAGCCUAUGGAAAGACCUUAAGGCAGAGGCAUCCAACUGAACGACCCAAGGGCUCUGACUUACAGAAACUGUGAGCAGCUUCAGGAAAGAGGCACUGGCCUUUACUUCUCCACCUCGCUUCACUUCCAUGUUGUUGACAAAUGUUGUAGUUGCCCAGGAUCAGAGGGAGAGACAGACCCUGUGAUCACUUCCCCAAAGGCGGCCUUUGGCCACUCCGUGCACUGGAGCACAUGACCCUCUGCCUCGCCCCUGCCACAUUAACCAGGUGACUGUCUGCCAAGGCCCAGCCCAGUCCAAAGGGAAUUGGGAUUCAGCGUCCCAAACAAGGCACUGAUUAGCUGGUAAUCAGGGAGCGAUUAGCAGGUCGGGUCACCUGCAGUUCAUUGCCCAUUGUUCCCUGCAAAGUCCUGGGAUAUUUGCCACACGGGCUGGCCAGUCUGAAUGUCUGAGGAUUCCGAUGCCUGCAGCUCUGCUGUGUAGAUCUGUGAUUAGGAACAAAUCCUCUGUUCUCUCAGCCCAUCCCCCGAAGGAGGCAGUGCGGUGGGUGAAUCCCCUUCUCUAUUCACACACAAAGGAUUUGGGAGAAGAAUGGCCUGCUUAGGAGCUCAACAGUGACAGAGAGGUGAGGUCCCAAUAAUGCACUGAAGAACUGAAAGCAAAUUAGCACAUUCCUCUUCCUGAACCAUGAUGACUGAGAGUGGAGGAGCCCAGCAAGUCCACGUCCAGAUUGAGAUUCUACUGUGAUCUUGAGAUGUGACCUCAGACAAGAUUUUUAACCUCUGAGCUUGUUUACCUCGAUUUUAAGAGGGUUAAUAAUAACACUCGCCUCUUCAGCCUUUGAAGUUCAGAUUUAGAAAAUGAACAUAAAGCAGUUAAUACAGUCUCUGUAGCGUGUGACCAAUAUGGGCUAUCACCAUUAUCAUCAGUUAUAGUAAUAUCAAUAUUUAAAAUAUCAUAAUUAUUUGAAAUACUUUAUUUAAAAUAUGCCCCUGUAACAUCACUUCUAAAUGAGAGAUAGCCCCUUUGUAGGAGGCCCUGAUAAGGAGGAGAUGAGAUAAUUCUUGUAAAGCUUUCAUCACAGGACCUAGCAUGUAAUUAGCACUCAAUAAAUCAUAGUAAUAAUGGUGAUCACCGUCA